GACGAACGCUGGCGGCGCGCUUAACACAUGCAAGUCGAACGGAAAGGCCUGCUUUCCCUUGUGGAUUGCGGGUACUCGAGUGGCGAACGGGUGAGUAACACGUGAGUGAUCUGCCCCCAACUUGGGUAUAAGCCUGGGAAACUGGGUCUAAUUCCCGAUAGGACUGCAGGGUGGUGCCUGUGGUGGAAAACGAUUUUCUAGUGGUUGGGGAUGAGCUCGCGGCCUAUCAGCUUGUUGGUGGGGUAAUGGCCUACCAAGGCGGCGACGGGUAGCCGGCCUGAGAGGGUGGACGGCCACAUUGGGACUGAGAUACGGCCCAGACUCCUACGGGAGGCAGCAGUGGGGAAUAGUGCACAAUGGGCGGAAGCCUGAUGCAGCGACGCCGCGUGGGGGAUGACGGCCUUCGGGUUGUAAACUCCUUUCGACCGCGAGGAAGCCACCUGGUUGGAAGGGUGGUGACGGUAGUGGUAGAAGAAGCACCGGCUAACUACGUG
rnacentral:rRNA from 1 species